CCUACGGGGGGCUGCAGUGGGGAAUAUUGCACAAUGGGGGAAACCCUGAUGCAGCAACGCCGCGUGAAGGAAGAAGGGUUUCGGCUCGUAAACUUCUAUCGAUAGGGACGAAAGAGAUGACGGUACCUAAAUAAGAAGCCCCGGCUAACUACGUGCCAGCAGCCGCGGUAAUACGUAGGGGGCAGGCGUUAUCCGGAAUUACUGGGUGGAAAGGGAGCGUAUGCGGCAAGUUAAGUAAGAGGUGAAAGCCCGCAGCUUAACUGCGACGAUUGCAUUUUAAACUAGCUGGCUGGAGUACAGGAGAGGUAAGCGGAAUUCCUGGUGUAGCGGUGAAAUGCGUAGAUAUUAGGAAGAACACCAGUGGCGAAGGCGGCUUACUGGACCGUAACUGACGCUGAGGCUCGAAAGCGUGGGGAGCGAACAGGAUUAGAUACCCCUGUAGUC
rnacentral:rRNA from 1 species